rnacentral:rRNA from 1 species
UACGUAGGGGGCAAGCGUUGUCCGGAAUCAUUGGGCGUAAAGCGCGUGUAGGCGGCCAGAAAAGUCCGCUGUGAAAACUCGAGGCUCAACUUCGAGCUGUCGGUGGAAACUUUCUGGCUAGAGUCCGGAAGAGGAGAAUGGAAUUCCUGGUGUAGCGGUGAAAUGCGCAGAUAUCAGGAAGAACACCCGUGGCGAAGGCGGUCUCUGGGACGGUACUGACGCUGAGACGCGAAAGCGUGGGGAGCAAACAGG